GACGAACGCUGGCGGCGUGCCUAAUACAUGCAAGUAGAACGCUGAAGCGAGGAGCUUGCUCUUCUUGGAUGAGUUGCGAACGGGUGAGUAACGCGUAGGUAACCUGCCUUGUAGCGGGGGAUAACUAUUGGAAACGAUAGCUAAUACCGCAUAACAAUGGAUGACACAUGUCAUUUAUUUGAAAGGGGCAAUUGCUCCACUACAAGAUGGACCUGCGUUGUAUUAGCUAGUAGGUGAGGUAACGGCUCACCUAGGCGACGAUACAUAGCCGACCUGAGAGGGUGAUCGGCCACACUGGGACUGAGACACGGCCCAGACUCCUACGGGAGGCAGCAGUAGGGAAUCUUCGGCAAUGGGGGCAACCCUGACCGAGCAACGCCGCGGGAGGGAAGAAGGGUGUCGGAUCGUAAAGCUCUGUUGUAAGUCAAGAACGAGUGUGAGAGUGGAAAGUUCACACUGUGACGGUAGCUUAACAGAAAGGGACGGCUAACUACGUG
rnacentral:rRNA from 1 species